CCUGUCAGACGCUGCCCGCUCGCGGCGAAAUCAGUUUUAUAACGCGGCGCAUGCGCGCCGACGUCAUGAUAGUUUUGCCGCGAAAAUUCAAACGCGGUCACGCUCCCGGACCUUUUGGGGGCGUGGCUUUAAAGUGACACACACAUCAGUAUAAAAGGGCAUCCCUGUCCACCCCUCAGUGCCCUAGUGUGGUUCUUGAUCGUUCCUCUGGUGCUCUUAUACUUAGUUAUCUGUUUUUCUGGUAUUUUGACCCUUGGCUUCCGUACUGACGAUUCUCCUAUCUGGCUCUCCGACUUUUGGCUUGGCUUUCUCGUUUAUCCCGAUUUCCGUACUCCCUUGAUCCUUGACUUUUCCUUUGACUAUCCUCUGACGUUAAGUCCGGCCACCCUAAGGUCCGGUAUACGUCCAUUUCUGGGUUACCAUCUGUGUGAAGGGGUCACUGUCGUGACACAGAGA